AGAGGAAGAAAGCCUUGUCACACUAAAGGAGAGACAGCGGAUGUUCUGAACAGUCCUGUCGUGAAACGUUAGACAACGUGGACGAAACAGGCACAUUCCUAAGCAUCACACAUUACUGAAACUCAGUCAAGAAGAAAUAGAAAAUCUGAAUACAUCCAUGGCAAGCACAGAAACUGAACUAGGGGAUUCGAAAUCUUCCCACAAAGAAAAGCCUAGGCCCAACUGGCCUCUAUGGCUUUCUGACUCUGCGUUCUAUCUUCUGUCUUGACUUUAUUCACCCAAGAUGACCAAAAAGACAAAGAUUUGAGCUAUGAGGUACAGCAAGAAGGUGCCAUCUAUGAAGGAGAAGACAAGCCCUCACCAGACACCAAAUCUGCUGAUGCUUUGAUCUUGGACUUCCCAGCCUCCAGAACUGUUCAGACUUUGGACAACAUGUAGCCCAGGACAGUGAUCCCUGAGAAAAGGAAGACAAAUGAGGUGACACUGUGAUAGACCCAGAUCAACGCCUGGAAAAAGUUUCAAAGCUACAAUGUGAGGAGUGGGGACAAAACAGUCUAGUGGCUUUGCUGAGUGGAGAAGGCAAGUACUGGAGUCCAGGCAAAGUAUUGGUGAAGGUGGAGCCCUGGAGAAAAAGAACUCUAGAGAUCUGUAAGAGGCUCUCCUUGAAACUUCUACUGAGCACAGUUCUGCACAUGCAUGUAUAGAAUUUACUCAAGAUGAAGAAAGAACCAACGAAAAAAAGCAUAGUAUAAUGCUGAGAACUCAUAAAAUCGAGUAGGAAAUCUUGCCUAUUGCUCACACCCCUUUAUUAACUGAAGCUGACUUAACCCGAACUAUCUGAAGCUGACUCAACCCGAACUAUCCGAGAUCACACGUAAAUGUUUUCCUUCUGAUCUCAACUUUUCUCCUUAUCGUGGGGCAUGGAAAGGAGGAGAUCGCAGCAGGGAAGUUUUUGUUCUUGUUCACAUGCUAACAAUGGUAAGCUUCUUAAAAGUGAAUCACAGUAGCAUCACAGAGUUUGGACAGGUGAUGUAACUAGGAGCUACGAAAAUUGAGUGCCAUAAAAGAAUCAUCUUUAAAUACUGAAGUGCUUCUGUAUGCUUGAAUUAUACAGCAUUUCCUGUUUCAAAGCAGUUUCACACAAUCUCAUUUAACACUUUUAAAGUCAUAGUAGUUGAACCGAGUAUAUCGCACCCCUGUUACGGCUUUUUCUUGAUUAUAGGACAAAAUGAAAAGAACUUUUAUGAUCUGGCUCCAAUUAUACUUUCAAGGUUCAAGUCUUCCCAUCCGGUAAGAUUUUUCUUCUUUACAAAAUGCCCCAACUGAGGCACCUUUAUGCCCCACCUCAGGAGGAGGAGCUGCUGCUACAGGGAGGAAUAUGCUGGCAAUCUACCUUUGGAAAGUCCUUGACCAAUUGUUUCGGUAAAUGGACAAGUGUAGCGGCCCCAGCCUGAGGCAGGUAUAGUGCCCAGGGUUUCAUGCCAGUAGAUGACCCAUCCAGAAGAGCAGAGGUGAUGUCUGAGGGCUAUCGAUUUACAGCAAUGGAUUGGUCAAGGAAGGAUAAAGAAACUUGGAAAGAACUAUCAUGAUACCUGCCCUGAGAAGCCAAAAUUUGGUUUAACUUUGUGUUGUUUACUGUUUGGUUCUAUAAAAGCUAAGUUUAUAAAAUAUUGUAUGACAGGUGAAUUUAAAUGUUACUAACCAUCUUGGAUGUCCUGCUCUUCUGCUGUACAGCAAUAAAGUCUCUCUAAAUGCAAU
rnacentral:lncRNA from 1 species